GCCCAGACGACCCAUGGCUAGGGUAAAGCUGGUGCUGUCCUAGAAAUUGGGUCUCCCCUCCCAGAUCCAGGCUGCCUCCUGCAGGCUGCAGACUCUGACAUCCAGCCAUCUCAAUAUUCCAGAGAAGAGGAUGAGUGUGAAGGGUGGUGGCGAUUUUAAACAAGGUGAUCAGGAAGACCUUGUGGAUAACUUCGGGUCUGAGCACACUCCAUCAGGAGUCCCCCUCUGUCACCCGGGCUGGAGUGGAAUGGUGCGA
rnacentral:lncRNA from 1 species